GAUGAACGCUGGCGGCGUGCUUAACACAUGCAAGUCGAACGAAACACCUUAUUUGAUUUUCUUCGGAACUGAAGAUUUGGUGAUUGAGUGGCGGACGGGUGAGUAACGCGUGGGUAACCUGCCCUGUACAGGGGGAUAACAGUCAGAAAUGACUGCUAAUACCGCAUAAGACCACAGCACCGCAUGGUGCAGGGGUAAAAACUCCGGUGGUACAGGAUGGACCCGCGUCUGAUUAGCUGGUUGGUGAGGUAACGGCUCACCAAGGCGACGAUCAGUAGCCGGCUUGAGAGAGUGAACGGCCACAUUGGGACUGAGACACGGCCCAAACUCCUACGGGAGGCAGCAGUGGGGAAUAUUGCACAAUGGGGGAAACCCUGAUGCAGCGACGCCGCGUGAGUGAAGAAGUAUCUCGGUAUGUAAAGCUCUAUCAGCAGGGAAGAAAAUGACGGUACC
rnacentral:rRNA from 1 species